rnacentral:rRNA from 1 species
UAAAAGCUACUAAGGGCUUACGGUGAAUGCCCUGGCACUAAAAGGCGAUGAAGGACGUGAUAAGCUGCGAAAAGCUUCGGGGAGUGGCACAUACACUUUGAUCCGGAGAUAUCCGAAUGGGGAAACCCACCAGUUUAACUGGUAUCUUAAAGUGAAUUCAUAGCUUUAAGAUGCGCACGAGGGGAAGUGAAACAUCUCAGUACCCUCAGGAAGAGAAAUCAACCGAGAUUCUCCUAGUAGUGGCGAGCGAACGGGGAAUAGCCUAAACCUCCUAUAUGUUAAAGCUCCUGGGCGUUGUAUAGGGGGUGUCGUGGGACUCUCAGAAGUUACUAGGAUAACUUCGCAGAGUUACAAAGUUUUACUAUAGUAGAACGAUCUGGAAAGGUCGGCCAAAGAAGGUGAUAGCCCUGUAAAUAAAAUAGUAAGACCUCUGGAGAGGAUCCCGAGUACUACCGGACACGUGUAAUCCGGUAGGAAUCUGGGCGGACCACCGUCUAAGGCUAAAUAUUCUUUAGUGACCGAUAGUGUACUAGUACCGUGAGGGAAAGGUGAAAAGAACCCCGAGAGGGGAGUGAAAUAGAACCUGAAACCGUAAGCUUACAAGCUGUGGGAGCACUAUGUCCUAGACAAGUGUGACCGCGUACCUUUUGCAUAAUGAGUCAGCGAGUUAUGGUUUGCAGGCUAGGUUAAGCCGUGACAGGUGUAGCCGUAGCGAAAGCGAGUCUGAAAUGGGCGUUAGUCUGUAACCAUAGACCCGAAACCCGGUGAUCUAUUCAUGGCCAGGGUGAAGCGUGGGUAACACCACGUGGAGGCCCGAACAAGUGGAUGUUGAAAAAUCCUUUGAUGAGCUGUGAAUAGGGGUGAAAGGCCAAUCAAACUGGGUGAUAGCUGGUUCUCCCCGAAAUAUAUUUAGGUAUAGCCUUGGGUCAUUGUAUCCCGGAGGUAGAGCACUGAAUGGGCUAGGGGUCUUUACCGGAUUACCAAACCCAAUCAAACUCCGAAUGCCGGAGAUAUGUAUCCCAGGAGGCAGUCAUAGGGUGAUAAGGUCCUUUGACGAGAGGGAAAGAGCCCAGACCGCCAGCUAAGGUCCCUAAAUAUGUGCUAAGUGGAAAACGCUGUGGAGCUACUUUGACAACUAGGAGGUUGGCUUAGAAGCAGCAAUCCUUUAAAGAAAGCGUAAUAGCUCACUAGUCUAGUGGCUCUGCGCGGAAGAUAUAACGGGGCUUAAGCACAUUACCGAAGCUGCGGGUUAGAUUUAUAUCUAGCGGUAGGGGAGCGUUGUGGCGUAGGCUGAAGGUCGACCGAGAGGACGGCUGGACGAACCACAAGUGAUCAUGCUGACAUAAGUAGCGUUUAACGCAGGUGAAAAACCUGCGCGCCGUAAACUCAAGGGUUCCUGGGCCAGGAUAAUCCUCCCAGGGUUAGUCGAGUCCUAAGGCGAGGCCAAUUGGCGUAGUCGAUGGAAAAACGGUUAAUAUUCCGUUACCUAUCUUGUUGUAAGCGCAGGAGGGACGGACUAGGAUAGGUUGGGCCUGUUAUUGGUUCAGGUUCAAGCGUGCAAGUGGUGGAGUAGGCAAAUCCGCUCCACAUACACCUAGGCGUGGAGGAAGGAGAAUUUUUCUCUGAACUCAACCGACUCCAUGGUUCCAAGAAAAGCUUCGGCGUGUUUUCAAGAUAGCUCGUACCGUAAACCGACUCAGGUGAGUGGGAUGAGUAUUCUCAGGCGAUUGGGUUAAAUCUGGUUAAGGAACUCGGCAACUUGACACCGUAACUUCGGGAUAAGGUGUGCCAUCUGGUGUGUAGUCCCUUGCGGGCGAAGCAUUGGGUGGUCGCAGAGAAAUGGGAGUAGCGACUGUUUAUCAAAAACACAGGGCUGUGCAAAGUCACAAGACGACGUAUACAGCCUGACGCCUGCCCGGUGCCGGAAGGUUAAGAGGAUCUGUUAGCUUCGGCGAAGCGGAGAAUUGAAGCCCCGGUAAACGGCGGCCGUAACUAUAACGGUCCUAAGGUAGCGAAAUUCCUUGUCGGGUAAGUUCCGACCUGCACGAAUGGCGUAACGACUUCUCCGGUGUCUCAACCAGAUGCCCAGCGAAAUUGAAUUCUCGGUGAAAAUGCCGAGUACCCGCGGAAAGACGGAAAGACCCCGUGAACCUUUACUCUAGCUUGGCAGUGACCUUUGAGGCCUCAUGUGUAGGAUAGGUGGGAGUCUAUGAAACCCGGACGCUAGUUCGGGUGGAGACACCCUUGAAAUACCACCCUUGAUGUCUUAGAGGUCUAACCUGCACCCGUUAUCCGGGUGAGGGACACUGUCUGGUGGGGAGUUUGACUGGGGCGGUCGCCUCCUAAAAAGUAACGGAGGCGUGCGAAGGUUCCCUCAGCCUGAUCGGAAACCAGGCGUCGAGUGCAUUGGCAUAAGGGAGCUUGACUGCGAGACCUACAAGUCGAGCAGGUGCGAAAGCAGGCCAAAGUGAUCCGGUGGUCCCGCGUGGAAGGGCCAUCGCUCAACGGAUAAAAGGUACUCCGGGGAUAACAGGCUGAUACCCCCCAAGAGUUCACAUCGACGGGGGUGUUUGGCACCUCGAUGUCGGCUCAUCACAUCCUGGGGCUGGAGCAGGUCCCAAGGGUUUGGCUGUUCGCCAAUUAAAGUGGUACGCGAGCUGGGUUCAGAACGUCGUGAGACAGUUUGGUCCUUAUCUUCCGUGGGCGUAGGAGAAUUGAGAGGAGCUGUCCUUAGUACGAGAGGACCGGGAUGGACGAACCUAUGGUGUUCCUGUUGUCGCGCCAGCGGCAUCGCAGGGUAGCUAUGUUCGGAACGGAUAACCGCUGAAAGCAUCUAAGCGGGAAGCCGACCUCAAGAUUAGUUCUCCCAGAUCUUUAUGAUCCUUAAGACUCCUUCUAGACUAGGAGGUUGAUAGGCAGGAAGUGUAAGCAGGGUGACCUGUUCAGCUAACCUGUACUAAUUAGUCGUGAGGCUUUUUUUU